AACGAACGCUGGCGGCAGGCCUAACACAUGCAAGUCGAACGCCCCGCAAGGGGAGUGGCGCACGGGUGAGUAACGCGUGGGAAUAUGCCCUUCGGUUCGGAAUAACACAGGGGAACUUGUGCUAAUACCGGAUACGAUCUACGGAUGAAAGAUUUAUCGCCGAGGGAGUAGCCCGCGUAGGAUUAGCUAGUUGGUGAGGUAAUGGCUCACCAAGGCGACGAUCCUUAGCUGGUCUGAGAGGAUGAUCAGCCACACUGGGACUGAGACACGGCCCAGACUCCUACGGGAGGCAGCAGCGGGGAAUAUUGGACAAUGGGGGCAACCCUGAUCCAGCCAUGCCGCGUGAGUGAUGAAGGCCUUAGGGUUGUAAAGCUCUUUCGUCGGGGAAGAUAAUGACGGUACCCGAAGAAGAAGCCUCGGCUAACUCCGUGCCAGCAGCCGCCGUAA
rnacentral:rRNA from 1 species